CAGAAAACUUUAAUGAAUAAUAAGAGGCUCAUAAGGGAAAAAAGCAUGAAGGAGAAAGAGUAGAAAUGUGGAAAUCAGACUGCCUGUACAAGUGACUGUUGACUCCUGACUUCCUCUUCUGUCCUCCUUUUCCACCUCUGCCUAGGCUGGCCUGAAUGUUGUUGAGAACCACCAUCCCUGGUCCUUCCUACUGCCUUCAGGACAGAGCUCUCAUGAACAAGAGGAACCUGGAGUAUGGUGGCAGCUUCUCCCCGCCCUCUCAGGAAGCAGGCAUCGCUAUCUAUUUGUAUUUCAGCUGUACUUAGCGGGCCUAGCAAACACCAAGGUUCCCUGCCCUGGAAUGAAUAAAUUAAAGAAAAGAAGCAGCAGCAGAAUGUGUGUAUGUGCGUCCAUGCACAAGAAAGAGUGACUUGCUUUAGGUCCCCCUCCAGGUUCAAGUUAUGUUAUGUUCAGUGACUACAGAAUUUCAACCCACAGAGGUUCAGACUAUGCUGUUCUGGAAGGCCUAUGCCCUGUCCCCACCUUCCUGGUUACCUGCUGCUGCCCUGGGGCCAAGCUGAGGCCAUGCUCCAUGCCCCAGGCUGAAGCAAAGACAGAGUCUGACUGCAACAGAGCAAGGGAUUUAUGUCACUGCAUUGCAAUGCAUAAACUUACCACCACCCUAAAAACACAAACAACAGCAAAAAAAGAGCGGAGGAGAAGCAGAGAGAAAACCCAGAUGCACAUAGAGAGAGAAAUUCUAACCUUUCUUAAAAAAAUAUAUAUCCGAGACAGACAUGUAUAUCUUGGCAAGUAAAUGUCCCUAAUGUGAAAAGGAAAUGCUCUGGCUCACAAAAAAUGGAAGUUACUGAAACAGUCACUGACGUUGCCAUUAGCAGAGAUGGGCUUCAAAGACAAUUCUGGGGGAGUGAAAAUGAGUAAAUAUUUGCCGCUCUGUGAUUGGCGGCAACCAGUGGGUUCUGCUGAUCUCUGCUUAACCCUGCUAUCAUGUCUUCUUUCUUGAGACUGAGGUGCAAACAUGUCAUUGCCCUGAUAAAUGGCACCUCCUUUGGGAAUAUUUUCGAAGUCAAAAGUUUGCAGAGUGCAUUUCCUUAUAAUGAACAAGCAAAUAUUAAAGGCUGGAUAUCAGAGACAAUUGGGUGAGUAGAAAGAGUCCACUAUAUAUUCUCUAUGGCCAACAGGAUUUAGAUGGAGAGAAGGGUGCUCACCAGUGGCUGAUGCUACAGUUAGAGAUAGUUGAGGAGAACACUCUCCCCAGUCCUGAAUUCUUAAUGCUACGAGGACCAGAUCUACAAUUUUAUCUUCCCCUAAAUUUCUGAGGUGUUUAGCAUUGCCUGAGGUGUUUAGCUAUUCCCUGUUUGCAA